CAGUUACGCAAAAACAAAAAGAAGCCCGCACAGGUAACUAAAGUUCCAAGACAUUGCGAUGCAAUGGACCAAUCUCAUGUACCUUCUUCACAACAAUCUCAGGUCAGUGGGAUUUUAAACAAUACCUCUAGCAUAG